AUUCCGGUUGAUCCUGCCGGAGGCCAUUGCUAUCGGUGUCCGAUUUAGCCAUGCGAGUUGUACGUUUACCGUAGCAAACUGCUCAGUAACACGUGGCCAAACUGCCCUAUGGACCGGAAUAACCUCGGGAAACUGAGGCUAAUUCCGGAUACCACAUUCAUCCUGGAAUUGGAGAAUGUGCGAAAUGCUCCGGCGCCAUAGGAUGUGGCUGCGGCCGAUUAGGUAGACGGUGGGGUAACGGCCCACCGUGCCGAUAAUCGGUACGGGUCAUGAGAGUGAGAGCCCGGAGACGGACUCUGAGACACGAGUCCGGGCCCUACGGGGCGCAGCAGGCGCGAAACCUUUACACUGCACGACAGUGCGAUAGGGGGACACCGAGUGCGAGGGCAUAGAGCCCUCGCUUUUCUGAACCGUAAGGAGGUUCAGGAACAAGGGCUGGGCAAGACCGGUGCCAGCCGCCGCGGUAACACCGGCAGCCCAAGUGAUGGCCGAUAUUAUUGGGCCUAAAGCGUCCGUAGCUGGCCGUGCAAGUUCGUCGGGAAAUCCACUCGCUUAACGAGUGGGCGUCCGGCGAAAACUGCUCGGCUUGGGACCGGAAGAUCCAAGGGGUACGUCCGGGGUAGGAGUGAAAUCCCGUAAUCCUGGACGGACCACCGAUGGCGAAAGCACCUUGGAAGGACGGAUCCGACAGUGAGGGACGAAAGCUAGGGUCUCGAACCGGAUUAGAUACCCGGGUAGUCCUAGCCGUAAACGAUGCUCGCUAGGUGUGGCGCAGGCUACGAGCCUGCGCUGUGCCGUAGGGAAGCCGUGAAGCGAGCCGCCUGGGAAGUACGUCUGCAAGGAUGAAACUUAAAGGAAUUGGCGGGGGAGCACUACAACCGGAGGAGCCUGCGGUUUAAUUGGACUCAACGCCGGACAUCUCACCAGCUCCGACAGCAGUAAUGACGGUCAGGUUGAUGACCUUACCCGACGCUGCUGAGAGGAGGUGCAUGGCCGCCGUCAGCUCGUACCGUGAGGCGUCCUGUUAAGUCAGGCAACGAGCGAGACCCG
rnacentral:rRNA from 1 species